CGUUCUGGAUUGUUCUGUACUCUGCCGCUUCUCUGCCUCAUCUGGAGAAAUCUGAAAUUACAAAUCUUCUGCCGGUGGCUUCUUCGUGAGCAGAGUCAUGAACUGGUUGUAGGAGAAGAACUUCAAUUGCAGAUCAACUGUUUGACGAAGGUGCUGAGUAGACUUCUUUCUUUGAUACCUUAAGUUGCUGAUCAAGGCAGCACUUCGCGUGAUGAUACUUCUACAGCUGUACAAGACAAUGGAAAAAAUAUAGCUAGCUCGCUCUCCAUUUUUGAACCAGAUACGCUAUAUGCUCAACAUCGGCUACACCUGCGGGACAACAUAACCCAAACUCAACAACUACAACUCGCAAAGGCAUGUCAAUUGCUUUACCCAUUUGUAUAAAAAUCUAUCUUCUAUGAAAUCUUUCUUUAUAUUAAUCAAAAUCAUAUUUACAGUAAGUUCGCCGUUAAUGUCCCCUUAACAGCAUGAGCCAAGGACAAUUGCUGGCAAAAAUAACUCACUUUAAACAUGCAACCAUACUGAUUAAUUGACUCUUCCUCAAGGUUAUUAUAUUUGCAUAGGUAAUAAUUUAAGAGGUAUACAUUGUUUUGAUAUUAAACAAAUUCCCAAUGUCACAAGCAUUUUUUUUAAAAAUCCCUCCUUGUGAAUAUUGUGGAGCAAAACGAUUCCAAUACGAAUCGCCAAGAUUUUGUUGCAGUAAUGGCACGAUUAAAUUGACAUUUCCGCACCUACAUUAGAAUGUAUAAUAACAUGUUCACAUUUACUUAUCUUGGAGUAAAAUAUGUCAGAGCUAAAAAAACAUAUAGCAUGGUAUUUAUACCUUUAGAGUUCAAGGACCAAUGUACCAUUGUAAUGACCCUCCAGGUCAUUUUCUUCAUUCUCUAAUCUUUUUAGCAUUUAUAGCUUUUUUGCAGCGACCCCGAGUCAUUUAUGACUUGCUAGCACUGACAGCUCAGUCGUCUGGUCGUUUGUUUGGAUUAUUAUGUCCGUUUCCUUGUUCUGGAGCCUUUAUAAGUUGAAAAUUUUACUUCGGUCAUAACUUUAGGUAUAUGACCUCAGAACGAAAUUUUGAUGGUUCCAUCAGCUUCGAAAUAUCCAAAUUAGGCUAGUAACAUGAUCAACAAGAGUAUCAAGUCAAUCGAUACGAGUUUGGGACCAUUUGACACUUCUGCCUUGGAAAUUUGGCCUAUGGUUGACUUUGGUCAACGUUCUUAGAAAAUACGCUCGGAUUAAAAUUUUGUCAGUGUGGUUAGCUCUGAAAUGUCGAGUUUGAUUUAGAAUGAUCCUUCGUUCGCUUCCUAAGGCUUCCGGUCUAAUCCCAAGGCCCGUAGUGGAAUUAGGCUCAAAUUGACACUUAGGUGUGGGAUCCACUUUUAGUUGUAACAACUUCGUAUGGAAAUUUUGACUCUGUCAUUGAGUCCGAAAGGUCAAAUUUGAUGGGGUAACAUAUUUCGUUUACGCGCAUGUGAUUCAGAAUGAAUUUCGAGCACCCCAUCGGAGUAUUUGAACUUGGCAAAAAUCAGCAUUUUAGCUGAUAUCUAGUGCAGGAGAAAUUGUUCUCUGUGAUCGCCGGCCCUUGGCCGAGUUCGCGGAGGCCCAGUAUUUUGUUCUUCGUAUUUGCGGGGCCUGGGCCACAUUCGUGGAGUUUUGUCUCCCUUGCCUCCAUGUUCGUGGACCUCUAGCCAUGUUCACGAUGGUCAAUUUUGCUGACCUCCGUGUUCGUAGGCCACUUAAGUCAUGUUCGCGAAGGCCAAUUGUGGCUGGUCACUGUCAUUAAAAAGGCCUUGCGUUUUCAACUUUGUAUCACUGUUUAAGGGGCGAUUUUGCACUCAUUCCUAGCUCAAAUUAGGCAAUUUAAGAGUCUAACUUCAAGAUAUUUUUGCGAGGAAUCAAUUGGUAAGCUUGGAAUCUUGAGGGGAUGUUUCGUGUGAGCAAUUAGUGGAGAUAAGUUGUGGGGUUUUUUACAAGGAACAUUGUGGUGUGAUUAGUUUCGUUUUUUGAAGCAUCGUUUGAGCGUGGCGAAAAUUGGAGGUGUCUUGGAGGCUGUGAACUUCAAAUUGGAGGAUUUAGAGUGCGCGUGUUCGGCUUUGAGAUCAUAGUACGGGUUAUCGCAAUUAAUUUGGACUAGUGCAGAGCAGCUUCUGAUUAAGAGAUUUGGUGAGCUACUAGCGUUCGGAGUUACCGAUUUCCAUCCAUGCCAGAUUAGGACUAGUCUUUACUUGCUUUCAAAGACUAUUUGUACUCAUAUUGUAUUUAUAAAAGCCUUUCAUUUGUAUUUGAUUUAGACGCUAGAUUAUUGAUUGA